UACGGAGGAUGCAAGCGUUAUCCGGAAUUAUUGGGCGUAAAGCGUCCGUAGGUGGCCAUGCAAGUCUGCUGUCAAAGCAUGGAGCUUAACUCCAUAGAGGCAGUGGAAACUGAAUAGCUAGAGUUCGGUAGGGGUAGCGGGAAUUCCCAGUGUAGCGGUUAAGUGCGUAGAGACUGGGAAGAACAUCGGUGUCGAAAGCGCGCUACUGGGCCGAAACUGUCACUGAGGGACGAAAGCUAGGGGGGCGAAAGGG
rnacentral:rRNA from 1 species